GUGAGUCAUCGAGUCUUUGAACGCACCUUGCACCUUUUGGUUAUUCCGAAAGGUACGCCUGUUUGAAUGUCACAAAACUCCCCUCGGCUCUAAUGCUUUCUAAAAGGAUUAGAGACGGAUUCUGAGUGUUGGCGUGAAUACGCCUCGCUUUAAAUAUAUCAGCACUUUUGGAUGGUUGAAUAUUAGUUCAAAAGACGUACUUGAUGUUGUAUUUAUAUGUCAUUGAGGCAGUCUUUGGUCGUUCCGACUAUCCGCUAAUACGAAAACUUGAAGAAUAGCUUCCUAACCCUAUUAGAUUUUACCUUUAGACUUCAAAUCAGGUGGGACUACCCGCUGAACUUAA
rnacentral:rRNA from 1 species